rnacentral:rRNA from 1 species
UACCGCCUACGGGGCGCAGCAGUAGGGAAUCUUCCACAAUGGGCGAAAGCCUGAUGGAGCAACGCCGCGCGGGUGAAGAAGGUCUUCGGAUCGUAAAACCCUGUUGUUAGAGAAGAAAGUGCGUGAGAGUAACUGUUCACGUUUCGACGGUAUCUAACCAGAAAGCCACGGCUAACUACGUGCCAGCAGCCGCGGUAAUACGUAGGUGGCAAGCGUUAUCCGGAUUUAUUGGGCGUAAAGGGAACGCAGGCGGUCUUCUAAGUCUGAUGUGAAAGCCUUCGGGUUAACCGGAGUAGUGUAUUGGA